GCUACUACCGAUUGAAUGGUUUAGUGAGGACUCCUGAUUGGCGCCGCCGCCCCGGCAACGGAGCAGCGGACUGCCGAAAAGUUGUUCAAACUUGAUCAUUUAGAGGAAGUAAAAGUCGUAACAAGGUUUCCGUAGGUGAACCUUCAGAAGGAUUCA
rnacentral:misc_RNA from 1 species